UACGUAGGGUGCAAGCGUUGUCCGGAAUUAUUGGGCGUAAAGAGCUCGUAGGCGGCUUGUCGCGUCGGCUGUGAAAACCUGGGGCUCAACCCCGGGCCUGCAGCCGAUACGGGCAAGCUAGAAUUCGGUAGGGGAGACUGAAAUUCCUGGUGUAGCGGUGAAAUGCGCAGAUAUCAGGAGGAACACCGGUGGCGAAGGCGGGUCUCUGGGCCGAUAUUGACGCUGAGGAGCGAAAGCGUGGGGAGCGAACAGG
rnacentral:rRNA from 1 species